rnacentral:lncRNA from 1 species
GGCUCUGCUGUCCAGCGUAGGGAUGCUGGCCGCGUCUCCAGGAGAUGCACAGCAGCUGAUGGUGUCCUGGAGGGGACCGGCGGCGGGUUGCUGGCUCCUCCUCUGAGACCGGGAACCGCUUACCUGGCCUCCCAGGCCUCGCUUUCCCCCACUCGUAGGGUGACCUGCUGGGUCCGCCCGGGGUCGGUAUCCACAGGUGGCGGAUCUUUUCCUUUCUCCUCUAGCUUUCAGGGUCACUGCCUCUUGAGCACCCCAGCAUGGUGAUUUCUGUCCUCCAUCCCUCCCUCACCCUGCCCCAACCUCCAGUCCAACCUUGAGCCUGCUUUCCUCCCAGCCCUACGGCUCUGUCAGUGCCCCUGAUGGCCCCCUCCGUGGGCCUUUCUCCCAACAGAGAGCAGUGACCUGGGCAGGGCUACUGCUUCACUGGUCAGCUCAGGGUCCCCUCCUGGACAUGGGUGCCCUAUUCCCACUCUUGGAGCAUCUUACUCCUGUCCCUUCUUCACACCCACCCCCUGGCCACCCCAGGGCCAGAGUCUGCCUGGUCACCUCUGCUGAAGAACACUGGGCCACCCUGGAGAGGGGAUUCUGAACGGAGAAAACUUACAGCAGCUUUUUAUCUCAGGACAGUUUCCUUAGAGGAGUGUCAGGAACCAGCCAAGGAACCUGGCAACGAUGGCCCAGCUACGUGAGGCCAACAGACGUGAUUACCACACAGGAUGUUGGGCAAGGGAGUUCCAGGAAGACCGGAGAGCAGAGGGACACCAAGCUCUCUGAGCCUCAGCGAAGAUUUAGGUCAUACCAGCAGAGUCUGGGUUGGACCUGGGCCAUUGUUUCGCUGUGUCCACCUUGGAAACCAGUUGAUCUUGCUAACUCCGACCCCAGCCACCAAGGGCCACUAGACACAGCUGGCCACCAGGACCGCCGUCACCAGGAACCAGAGGUCAGAAGUCGGACCCGGGCCCCACUGGGGUGAGGUGCUACGUGGAAAAGCCAUUUUCUUGUUCACACAGUGCAUUAGGCACUUUCUGCUGCCCAGGGCAGAAUUCAGUGCCUUGUGGUUUUAAGAAUAAAAUCUCCAUUUUCCUUCCGGCUUCAGCUGAGAGUAUCCCAGCUAGGAAUAUCCUUGGUUUGUGGGGCCUCCCUCCAUCUGCUAGGCCAGCAAUGGAAGGUGGGGUGCCGAAAAUUCCUCCUUCUUUUAUCAGGGUCACCUCUGACUCGGCUGGGAAAGGGUCUCUGCUCACUGGACUGGAUUAGGGACAUCUGUGUAAUCCAAAAUACUUUCCCCAUCUCAGAAGCUGUACCCUUAAUCACCUGGACUCCUUUAAGGAGUUGUUACUUUUCCUACCACAAAUUAUAAAUUUACAGAUGAUUCCAACCCGCCCCCCUUGUGUGUGUGGGUGGGGGGUGGGGGUGUUCCUGGGAAUUGAACUUAGGGCCUUGCACGUGCUAGGUGUGUGCUGUACUUUUGAGCUCCAUCCCCAGCCCUUUUUAUCUUUUAUUUUGAGACAGGGUCUCACCAAGUUGCCCAGCCUGGCCUUAAACUUGUGAUCUUUCUGCCUGAGCAGCUGGAAUUACAGGCUCAACCCCUCUUGAUUAUGCAGCAUCUUUAUCACAUCAAUUUUUAUAAGAACCUUAUUGAGGUAAUAAGAUAACCUUAUUCGCAUUCUAUACAAUUCACUGGCUUAAAUGUGCAACUCAGGGGUUUUUAGUAUGUUCAGUUGUGUGACCAUCUCCACAACCAAACUUAGAACGUUUUCAUCACCCAGACAGGGAUCCCUGUACCCAUUAGAAUCACUGCCUAUUUUCCCCCAAACUUCUAAAAUCACUAAUAGGUUUUCUGUCUUUGUGGACUUGCAGAUUCUGGACAUUUCAUAGAAACAGACCGUACAAAUGAGGCCUUUUGUGUCUAAACAUACUUGUGUCUGUCUGUAUGUUUUCAAGGAUCCUAUGUAUUAUAGCAUGUAUCAGCAUUUCACCCCUUCUCAUUGCUAAAUAUAUUUCAUUGUGUAUUCUUAUGAAAUAAUAUUUAAUUGUGAUUAAUUUAAUUGUACUUAAAU